CAGAAGCUAGAAAAACAGUCACUUCCAUUAAGAGAAUCACUGCUCCAGCUGGCCAAGCAACAUGAGACCACAGACUUCAGGCUGAGUCUUCAACUGAAAACAGUAUCUGGGCCUUCAGCUGAGCCUCUCUCAUUGGGAUGGGAGGAUCACCAAGUGGUUAUUCAUCAACAGUCUCAGACUCAAGCGUCCUGGAUGGGGAUGGCAGCAGGGGCCAAGCGCUGGCAUUAACAUUUUGUGCUGACAGGGGCGCCCCGGGGGCUCAGUCAGUUAAGCUUCCUCCUGAUCUCAUGGUUCGUGAGAUAAGACGGGCUCUGUGCUGACAGCUCAGAGCCUGGAGCCUGCU